GAUGAGCGCUGGCGGCGUGCCUAAUACAUGCAAGUCGAGCGAACAGACGAGGAGCUUGCUCCUCUGACGUUAGCGGCGGACGGGUGAGUAACACGUGGAUAACCUACCUAUAAGACUGGGAUAACUUCGGGAAACCGGAGCUAAUACCGGAUAAUAUAUUGAACCGCAUGGUUCAAUAGUGAAAGACGGUUUUGCUGUCACUUAUAGAUGGAUCCGCGCCGCAUUAGCUAGUUGGUAAGGUAACGGCUUACCAAGGCGACGAUGCGUAGCCGACCUGAGAGGGUGAUCGGCCUCACUGGAACUGAGACACGGUCCAGACUCCUACGGGAGGCAGCAGUAGGGAAUCUUCCGCAAUGGGCGAAAGCCUGACGGAGCAACGCCGCGUGAGUGAUGAAGGUCUUCGGAUCGUAAAACUCUGUUAUUAGGGAAGAACAAAUGUGUAAGUAACUAUGCACGUCUUGACGGUACCUAAUCAGAAAGCCACGGCUAACUACGUG
rnacentral:rRNA from 1 species